CAGGUCAGGGAAACUGGCCAACCCAGAUCCCCAGGCUGUAAUCACCGGCAGACCCGACAUCGCUGAACCGACUUGCUGCGGGAAACAGCCCCAACAAGUCCCCACUGAUUUCGCCAGCGCCCCUCGCAUCAAAGCCUCCAGCUCUGCGAGCCUCAUAGCACCGGCGAGGGUACCCGGGAAUGAACUUCGACGGCCAGCUGGCCCCGGGUGGUGGGCGCUGACUACCCCUUUGGGGCGCCAGCCCCGUUCUCAGCGCUGAGCAAGGAUCAAUGUUUAAAUUGAUUGACAUCAUAAAGGAUAUAAGACCUACGUCUACUCGUAAAAGGAACAUCAUGCGAAAUGCCAGACUGGAUGAAUCACAAGCUGGAAUCAACAUUGCUGGGAGAAAUAGCAACAACCUCAGAUAUGCAGAUGAUACCACUCUAAUGGCAGAAAGUGAAGAGGAACUAAGAGCCUCUUGAUGAGUGUGAAAGAGGAGAGUGAAAAAGCUAGCUUGAAGCUCAACAUUAAGAAAAGCUGAGAUCAUGGGAUCUGAUCCCAUCAUUUCAUGGCAAAUAGAAGGGGAAAAAGUCAAAGCAGUGACAGAUUUUAUUUUCUUGGGCUCCAAAAGCACUGUGGACAAUAACUGCAGCCAUGAAAUUAAAAGACACUUGUUCCUUGGAAGAAAAGCUAAGACAAACCUAAACAGCAUAUUGAAAAGCAAAGACAUCAAUUUGCCAACAAAAGUCCAUCUAGUCAAAGCUAUGGUCUUUCCAGUAGUCAUGUAUGGAUGUGACAGUUGGACCGUAAAGAAGGCUGAGUGCUGGAGAACUGAUGCUUUUGAACUGUGGUGUUGGAGAAGACGCUCAAGGGUCCUUUGUACUGCAAGGAGAUCAAGCCAGUCAAUCCUAAAAGAAAUUAACUCUGACUAUUCAUUGGACUGAUGCUAAGCUGAAACUCCAAUACUUUGGCCACCUGAUGCAAAGAACUGACUCACUGGGAAAGACCCUGAUUCUGGGAAAGACUGAAGGUAAAAGGAGAAGGGGGCGGCAGAGGAUGAGAUUGUUAGAUAGCAUCGCCAACUCAAUGGACACGAGUUUGAGCAAACUCCAGGAGAUAGUGAAGGACAGGGGAGCCUGGCGUGCUUCAAUCCAUGGGGUCGCAAAGUCCGAAACGACUUAGCAACUGAACAACAACAACGUCGACAGGUACAGCUGUUUUGGCUACCAGUGCUUUUAGUCAUCUUUCCCUCCCAGCUGCCAAAAUGCUAAUGUUCAAGGGUUGCCUAUAAGGGCUAACUCACUUAAAAAGCAUACCUAGGCUAUGCACAUUUGCAAUACUGAUAGCCUAGUGACUUCAGGAAUGCAGUUUCACCCAUGGAUCCUGGAGCUAGUCAGUACUGGGUAAUCCAGUAAGUGAGUUGUUAAAGAAAUUACAAAGCUGGUUGAGGGGUGUAACUAAACUCCAUGAGAAAGAGGUAAAUAAAAAUUUUACUUAUUAUUGAUUCCACUGUCUGACAUCUACCUAACACUUAUCACAAGGAAUCUGAGUCCCGGUGUAUCGUUUAGUUUUUCUAUACUUCUUUGCAAGGCCUUCCAUGUUAACUCACUGAUUUCUUAAACUGUCAAGACUGAUGUUAAAUAAGAUGCCCAUCAAAUCCCUUUUUUCUUUUUUUUCCCGGUGUGAAACUUCUAGUCUCUGUUUGGGUUUCUGCCAGAAUAGCUUUACUAUUAUAUAAGUCCUUAAGUUGAUCUUUCUUUUUUAUUUGCUUAAAAAUAACUCAAUAAAAUGUACCUUGAUAGGAUUUUUUUUUUUUCUUUUCCUUUCUGUUAUCCUUCAGAGGAUGUUUCUCAUCAGGAGGGUUAAAAAAAAGUAAAGUAAUUUGACAUUUUAAAUUGGAGACCAUACUCACCCUCUGGGACAGCCCACACUCUGUCUGUGGAGUGUGUUUCUCUGAAUAGAUUGACUUCUUACCACUUUAUCUCUCACCAAAUUCUUUCUGCGAUGAGACAUCAAGAACCUGAGCUUCACUAGGUCCUGAAAUGAGGUCUAUGAUCUCUGUUGGACGAUUGCGGGGUCCCAGGCCCAGCCAUGUAGGUUUGGGUCCCAAACUGGGUGUUGGCUGGGAUCCAGUCCUGACAAGUGGAUUCAAGUCCCAAUCUGAGGUGAACGGUUUCAGCUGGACAUGGCAAACAUGUGGUCUUUGGCAAAGUGAAAGAGGAUGUGAAUUCGGUGGAAGUGCUGCAGUCCAAGAAAGGCAAGACCAGCAGAAGAUCACAGUUGCUGACUGUGGACAAAUCUAAUAAAUAUGACUGGUAGUUUAUCUUAACCAAGAGACCAUCCCCUCUGUAGCUCAGGAGAGCACCCCGUCAUCCCCAUAAAUCAAUAAACAAAUUGAAUAGGAGACAGAA